GCGAAAGAUACCAGAGAGACAUAUAAACUCAUUAAACCUAUAAUGGUUUAAUUUAUAAAUUUAGACUUGGAUGGAGGGUUGUCUCAUUGGCACUCAUACGACAUCUGCCUAUAUCUAAUCAUAGAUCGAAAAUAAACUGACAUGAUAUCUGGUGGGUAGAUGGGUCAAAGUUCCUUGUUAUGUAUGCAUCACAAGCCGUGUAAAUUAAUCCAGACUCAGUUAAAAUAUCACGAUAAAAGUGUUGAAAGCACAAUGUCCAAAAGUAGUUAUUUGAC
rnacentral:lncRNA from 1 species